AGCUAAUGACAGCAUUUUAUAUUGAAGCAUAUGUUUUCAAAGUAUCAGCUCUUAAAUUAGAAUUCCAUUGGUUUGAAAUGGUAUGGUUUAGGUGGAGGACUGUAAUUUUUAUCAGCUGAAAAGCAGCUGGACUACACUAGUCCUGAAUUGCAAGUCAGCUAUUUCGUAGCUAACAGUAAACAGCUGUUAUCACAAUGCUGUAGAGCAAGAACAGGUGUAAGGGAGCAUGUGCACAAAUAGUGGGGUAGCCCCUUUUGACAAAGUAUGACCUGUGGACUUUUAAGAUGAUGAGACAGACCUAAUUUCACAGCUUCAUGUGCAUGACCUGGGGUUGUGGAAUGCAUCUAGCUCAGACAGAGGGGCAAAAGCACUGAUCUCGCAGGAAUUUGAACUUUUGGUUCCAGGGAGUCUACCUAAUCAGAAACCACUCUCUCGCCACAUUAAUAGUUUUACUAUGAAUAGAGAAUUGGAGCUACCAGUUCAACAUUUAGAAGUAACAGUCUGUCAGUAUAUGGAUAAAAUUACUAGGCUUAAGUUAUGUGUCCCUAAGGAGCUGAAAGAGAGCUUGAGAAAUGGAGACACAUUACAAUCACAUGGAUUGCUUGAGUAAGCAUCUUGGAAAUAAACAGUCUGUCCAGGAUAAGCUAUUUAUUUCCUAAACUCCCAGAGGAAGUUCCUACAGUAAUAUUUUGAGAAUUAAACAAAAACUAUUUUGAGAUACUUGUGGCUGGAAAAGAAAAAGUCUCAGCCCUUUAUAAACACAGACCAAUCUUUACCUAAUUUUGAAUAUUUGUAGUUAGUUUUCAUACCAUGUGGCUUUGUGAACAAACCCACCAGGUCAGCCAUUCUGUGCCUUGCAGGCCCAGCAAGCCAGUUUUUUAUAUAGUACAGAGCACAGUGAUGUCUUGACAUGGUCUCACAAUGUUUGUACUGUCCUGCUGUACUGUGGCACAUAAUAUCACCUCUCCCAGCAGGGCAAUGAUGCAAACAACACUGAGCAGCAUGAACCUGCAUGAGAAGCUUUUUGGAGUACUGAGAAUGACAUUAUUUCCCUGGACCCCUUCAAAACCUCACGGCCUUGCCUCCCAGCUGGUGCUUGGCACUCCUUGCUGUGCUUGUCCUCGCGAUUUGUCCCCUUUUCCAUGGAAUCUCACAGUACUGCAAGUGCUGUCUGUAGCUGCAUCAUCUUUAUGUCUACCUUCCAUGGCAUUUUCUGCGAAACUCUUAAAAAACAACUUUCCCCUUUUCUAAAAAGCCUUUUUUUUCUGUUUUAUCUAGAACCUUACUAAAUAUUUUCAAGAGACAAAUUAAGAGGUUUGUAAAUUGUUCUUGCUGCUAAUAAUGGUUUAUCUUAUGUCCCACAAAUCCAUCUCUUUAUCAAGUGGUGGCAAGAUGUUACAGAGAAUAGGAAAGACAUAACUGUAAGAGAUAAGACAGAAAAGAGUCCAAUAUUAAUUUAAGAAUCAGAGCUCAGUAGAACAUCUGCAGUGAUGAUAUUACCCUGGUCUCAGUGUAUCUGUAGCCAUGUUCUAUAUCUGAACACAAACACCCAAACUGUGACUUGAGUGACAUCUUGAAAGCUUCUUGCAUCUUUCAAAGAAUGAUACAUACUGUGUCCUGCACUCAGACCUAUUCAUUAUGACUAAUUCCUCACUAAAUUUACAUUCCUUGGAAUGAUCAUAUUUAUCUUCAGCAUUGUCUACUUGGUAUUUUGAACAAUAACUUCAAAGGUUUGUAUACAGCCUUUUGGCCUAUAUUUACACACAACUCCUCUCAUUUUUUGCAUAGUGUAAGAUGGCACUCAAUUCUAGCAAUAUUAUUAUAUAUCUUCAUAUAUAUUAUAUCAAACUCCCACUGCUUUAGGUUUAUAUCUUUAAAGAUUCUUUUGUUGAUCUCAUUUUAGGAGAUAAUUUAAUCUUUCUAAAUUUAUUCCAAAAAUGCAAAACUUACUUAGGUUACUGCAUUCCCUUAAAUUAAACAUGAAUUCUUAAAUUUUUUACUUCCAAAACCAACAAAAGUGGGAAUAUAAUAAAAGCACAGUGUUUUGUUCAAAUUUCAGCCCCUUCAUUCCAGUUCACAUACACGAAUUCACUUCAAAGACAUGGAAUUUUGGGAGGCUUCAUCUGGAAAAGGGAAACACUGGAAUUAUUUUUCAGUUUACCAAGGAAUAAUUUACACAGAGGGACAAAAAUGGACACCUUUCUCCCUUUGUCUUCUGGUCUGAGAGACUGCAAUUCCUCAAUUGCUGCUCUUUUAACUUCUUUAUUUUCUAGUCUGAUGAUGUUGCCAAACAGUUCUCCUGAAGGGAACUUGUAUUCUGAACCAAUCCUUAUCUCAUAUACUUUCCUAACAUAUUUUCUUGAAUUGGAUGUGCAAUUCUAGUUUGUAAAGUCACAAAUCUUGCAUAAGUCUCCAAGCUAGGUGCUCUCCAAGGGCUAGGUGCAGUCUUUACUGGGCAGAACAUUAGGAGGUCCUCUCCCAGCUCUUGCAACUACUCUGAUGUUUUUAGGCAUUGAGGGUGAUUCCAAGUACCUAAUAAGAAAUAGGAGCUGGUAAGUAGAACUCAGGAUUCUACUCUGUCUGAUGACCUGUGGUGGAAUGACCCUGAAAGCCUUAUAAGGAAGAAGGAAGAGCCAGAGGAAGCAUGGAAAUGGAGGUGAGGAACAAAAGGAGAGUGAAAAGAAUAAAUUAAGAGAGGGACACAAAUGUGAAAAUGUUUUCCUAAAUUUAGACUCACACAGAAGGAAUAAAUUAGAAGAAAGAUAAAAGGAGUGCACAAAACAAAACAAAAAAAAAAAAAAAAAAAAAAAAAAAA
ensembl:lncRNA